rnacentral:lncRNA from 1 species
UAAGAUCUCUCACUUACAAGUAAACUGUAGUACAAAAUGAUGGCAAGGGCAAAAAAAAUUAAAACUGAAUUUUGGCCAUGUUCCAGCUGAGGCCAAAUCGUCAGCACUCAAAAUGAAUAUGAGACCAAAUCUUCAGCAGUCAAAAUCCUCAAUUAUUCUGGAUUGUAUACCCUUCCAAUCUCCUCUAUUCAUAUUUAUGUGAUCACGAUUCCAGGUCCUUAGAGAGGCUACACUCAUUUUAAAAGUAAAAGAUUCGAUCUUGUUGCAGCAAAGUGUGACUUUGUAUUUUUGUGUUAUUGGACUCUAUUUUUUCAGGGAUUCAUAUUUAUGUGGUCACAAUUCCAGGUCCUUAGAGAGGCUACACUCAUUUUAAACGUAAAAGAUUCGAUCUUGUUGCAGUAAAGUGUGACUUUGUAUUUUUGUGUUAUUGGACUCUAUUUUUUCAGGUGUCAAUUCCGUACUUGGGGAUUGGGGUGCCGGCGAUUUCAAGUCUAAAGUUGCGUUUCUUUUUGUUUCUUUAGUAUGAGGACUUGUUAUGUAUUCAUUUCUCCUGUCUGUCACAUGUAAAAACAUACAAUAAUACAUUCAUCUUGUUCCACCCCCAAUCUCCAAUUCUCUCUAUUUUUGGGCAUUUAUAACAAAUAUCAACAUAUUAAAAAAGCCAAAUUAAUAUAAAUUUUCAAGAGUGCCAACAGAUGAUGCCAAUGAUAUAACAAAUAGACUGACAUCGAAUUAUACAGACAAAUUCAUCAAACUGAAAACAAAUUAUUAGGUUUUGCUUUAUCAUUUAAUAAAUAAAGCAUCAGAUUUAAGGAGUUGGAAGACUUGAUUUUGGUAAUUUAUAAAUAUAUCCAAUGACAAAUUAAUAUAAAAAAUAUAAAAUAAAAUUUGUUUCUUUUAUUUAGCGAAAAACCCAGUACGGAUCAUUCAGCCAUUU